rnacentral:rRNA from 1 species
UACGGAGGGUGCAAGCGUUGCUCGGAUUUAUUGGGCGUAAAGCGCGUGUAGGCGGUCCGGUAAGUCCGCUGUGAAAGUCGGGGGCUCAACCCUCGGAUGCCGGUGGAUACUGUCGGGCUUGAGUACGGAAGAGGCGAGUGGAAUUCCUGGUGUAGCGGUGAAAUGCGCAGAUAUCAGGAGGAACACCGGUGGCGAAGGCGGAUCUCUGGGCCUUACCUGACGCUGAGGAGCGAAAGCAUGGGGAGCAAACAGG